rnacentral:rRNA from 1 species
UACGGGGGGGGCAAGCGUUGUUCGGAAUUACUGGGCGUAAAGGGCGCGUAGGCGGCCUUCUAAGUCGGACGUGAAAUCCCUCGGCUCAACCGGGGAACUGCGUCUGAUACUGGGUGGCUUGAAUCCGGGAGAGGGAUGCGGAAUUCCAGGUGUAGCGGUGAAAUGCGUAGAUAUCUGGAGGAACACCGGUGGCGAAGGCGGCAUCCUGGACCGGCAUUGACGCUGAGGAGCGAAAGCCAGGGGAGCAAACGGG